rnacentral:rRNA from 1 species
UGAACGCUGGCGGCAUGCUUUACACAUGCAAGUCGAACGGCAGCGGGGGCUUCGGCCUGCCGGCGAGUGGCGAACGGGUGAGUAAUGCAUCGGAACGUGCCCAUGUCGUGGGGGAUAACGUAGCGAAAGCUACGCUAAUACCGCAUACGCCCUGAGGGGGAAAGCGGGGGAUUCUUCGGAACCUCGCGCGAUUGGAGCGGCCGAUGUCGGAUUAGCUAGUAGGUGAGGUAAAGGCUCACCUAGGCGACGAUCCGUAGCGGGUCUGAGAGGAUGAUCCGCCACACUGGGACUGAGACACGGCCCAGACUCCUACGGGAGGCAGCAGUGGGGAAUUUUGGACAAUGGGCGCAAGCCUGAUCCAGCCAUGCCGCGUGAGUGAAGAAGGCCUCGGUGUAAGACUCUUCGUCCGGGACGGAAAGUACGUAGGUCGUC